UUUAUAUAAUUAUAUAUAUUUUUUUUUUUAUAUUUCAUUUUUCUUUUUUUACGUAUAAAGGUAGAAAAAAAUUUAUGAAAAUUGUAUUAUUUUAAUCUUUUACUAUAUUAUAUAUAUAUAUAAUAUAUAUAUAUACCAAAUAAAGGAUGGGAAUUUGAAUCCUUUUAAUAUUAUUUAUUUGUUUGUUUUUUUUUGUGUUUUAAUUUUUUUUUUUAAAUUUAUGAAAGAGUGAGAUGUAAUAUAUGUUUAAUAUAUAUAAUAUUUAUAGAAUACCCAUAUAUAUAAUAUAUAUAUAUAUAUAUAUUUUUUUUUUUUUUUUUUUUUUUUUUUUUUAUGUGUGUUUUUGUUUUCGUCCUAUUGAAAAUUUACACGGUGCGUAUUAUAAAAUUUUAUGUGUACAACAUGAAAUUUAUAAGUAUUAUAUAUAUAUAUUAAUAUAUAAUAAUAUUAUAUAUAUAUAUAUAUAUAUAUAUAUUAUAUUUUUUACAAAAUAAAUAAAUGUAGCAAAUAUGUCUAAUAUAACAUCAAUUGUUUGUCUAUAAAUUUUAAAAAUAUUAUAUAUAUAUAUAUAUAUAUGUAUAUGUAUUAUUUAUUUAUUUUCUUUUUUUAAGAAGAAUUAUUAAGUAUGUACCUUCUAUAAAAUGUAUAUAAUAAAGAGAAAAAAAAUUACCUGUACAAAAUAAAAUAUGUUCAACUGUAAAAGGAUAUAUGUUUUUUUUUUUUUUUUUUGACCUUUUACAUAUUUCAUUGAAUUGAAAAAAAAAAAAAAAAAAAAGGAAAAGAAAAUAUAUACAUUAUUUAUAGAAACUACUAAAAGAGGAAACAAAAAAAAAUUAUAUAACAAUAUAAUCAAUAUAUAUAUAUUAAUAGAUCGGAUAACAAUUUUUAAACAUAUACUUUUGACUUGUUAUAUAUAAAUUUCGUUAUGUUCCCUUGUUUUUUUUUUUUUUUUUUUUUUUUUUCUAAUAUAUAACAAUAUCAUAAUUAAAGUAUACAUAUAUAUAUAUAUAUAUAUAUAUAUAUAUAUAUGUAUGAAUGACCGAUAUUUAUUUUCCUUCUUUUUUGAGUAACCAUAUUUUAUAUAUCACUAUUAUGUGACUAUAAAUAUCAUUUUAUUAAAUCAUAUAUGAUUUUAAAAUAUUUUAUCAUAAAAAGAUUCAACCUUUAUUCGAAAAGAGAAAAUAAUAUAUAAAAAUAUAUUUAUAUAUAUAUAUUUCCUUUUUGUUAUAUAAUAUUUUAACAUUAUGUAAGGAAAAAAAAAAAAUAAAAUAAAAUAAUUACUUAAUAUAUAUAAUAUAUCAAUAUUAUGUAAUAAAACUCAUUUUAUUGUUUUAAAUAUAUUUGUCUAUCUUUCUCUUAGAAAAUAAGAUUUGUUCAUAUAUUAAUAAAGUCUAUACGUCUUAUUUAUUUUAUAUUAUAAAACACCAAUGAUAGUGUUCAUUCAUUUAAAAAAAAAAGACCACAUUUUUAAGUAUACGCAUGAAAGUGUUAUUAUAUAAUUGUAUUAUAUAAUAUCUUAUUAUUUACAAAAAAAAAAAAAAAAAAAACAUAUCCUUUUAUAGUUCUUUAUUAAUAUAUAUAUUAUAUAUUUUAUAAAUACAUGUCAUAUAUAUACUGUAUAUGUACGAAUUAAAAAAAAAAAAAAAAAAAAUAUAUAUAUAUAUAUAUAUAUAUUAGGUACAUAUAUUUUUAUAUCCAAAUUUAUUUAUGUACACAAAAAAGAAAAAAAAAAAAAAAAAAAAAAAAAAAAGAAUUAAUUUCCUUAAUAUUAUAAAAGUACAGUAAAAUUAUUGGUGUACAUACAAUUUAUGAAUACUACCCUUUUGUAAUUUAUAAAAAAAAAAAAAAAAAAAAAAAAAAUAAGAUAAUAAAAUGCAAUGGAAAAUGUUCAUAUAAUACUUCAAUAAUUUUCCUCUAUGAAACAGACCAAAAUAUAUAUAUUUAAAUAAAAUAAUACAUAAUUUUUUGUUCUUUUUAGAAAUAAAAAAUACAUAUUAUAUCAUUAUAUAUAAUUUUUGUAGUACACCCUUAAGAGCUAUCAUGAAUAAAAAAAGAAAAAGAAAAAGAAAAAGAAAUUACGGUAUAAAAAAAUAUAGGUAUAUAUAUAACAAUAUAUUAUUCUUGUAUUUUAAUUUUAAAAAAUUUUAAUAUAUGGUUCAAAUAAGUUAUUAUCAUUAAUUUUACUUUAUAUAUAAUGUAAAAGGAUAAUUUCAUUUAUUUAAUAAUAUUCCUUUCUAAAGAGUUCACAUAAAAAUAAUAUUAUAAUAUAUAUAUAUAUUAUGUUAUUAUAAAAUCUAAAACAUUUUAUUGUACUAUAUUAUAAUAUAUAUAAUAAUUUAAGAAGCACUUACUUUUUAUAUAUUAAUAUAAAUAUAUUUUUCAUAUUUUUUAUUAUGUUUUACAAUAAUAUAUAUAAAAAAAAAAAAAUUAUAUAUAUAUAUAUAUAUAUAUAUAUAUAUAUAUAUAUAUAAUUGUUAGUUUUAAUAUGCCUUAAACUUUUUCUUUACGUAUUUUUUUAAAUGGAACAAAAUCGUCUCAAAAGAAAAAAAAAAAAAAAAAAAAGA